rnacentral:rRNA from 1 species
AAUGGGCGCAAGCCUGAUCCAGCCAUGCCGCGUGAGUGAUGAAGGCCCUAGGGUCGUAAAGCUCUUUCGCCAGGGAUGAUAAUGACAGUACCUGGUAAAGAAACCCCGGCUAACUCCGUGCCAGCAGCCGCGGUAAUACGGAGGGGGUUAGCGUUGUUCGGAAUUACUGGGCGUAAAGCGCACGUAGGCGGAUCGGAAAGUUGGGGGUGAAAUCCCGGGGCUCAACCCCGGAACUGCCUCCAAAACUAUCGGUCUAGAGUUCGAGAGAGGUGAGUGGAAUUCCGAGUGUAGAGGUGAAAUUCGUAGAUAUUCGGAGGAACACCAGUGGCGAAGGCGGCUCACUGGCUCGAUACUGACGCUGAGGAGCGAAAGCUAGGGGAGCAAACAGGAUU